rnacentral:rRNA from 1 species
UACGGGGGGGGGCAAGCGUUGUUCGGAAUUACUGGGCGUAAAGGGCUCGUAGGCGGCCAACUAAGUCGGAUGUGAAAUCCCCAGGCUCAACCUGGGAACUGCAUCCGAUACUGGAUGGCUUGAAUUCGGGAGAGGGAUGCAGAAUUCCAGGUGUAGCGGUGGAAAUGCGUAGAUAUCUGGAGGAAUACCGGUGGCGAAGGCGGCAUCCUGGACCGACAUUGACGCUGAGGAGCGAAAGCCAGGGG